rnacentral:sRNA from 1 species
AAACUAGACAGAGGUGUGGACUGAAUAAAACUAGACAGAGGUGUGGACAGAAUAAAACUAGACAGAGGUGUGGACUGAAUAAAACUAAUCAGAGGUGUGGACAGAAUAAAAGUAGUCAGAGGUGUGGACUGAAUAAAACUAGACAGAGGUGCAGACUGAAUAAAACUAGACAGAGGUGCAGACUGAAUAAAACUAGACAGAGGUGUGGACAGAAUAAAACUAGACAGAGAUGUGGACUAAAUAAAACUAGACAGAGGUGUGGACAGAAUAAAACUAGACAGAGGUGUGGACUGAAUAAAACUAGACAGAGAUGUGGACAGAAUAAAAGUAGUCAGAGGUGUGGACUG